rnacentral:rRNA from 1 species
AUGCUGUGGCAGAGCUUCGACUACCCGACCGACACGAUGCUGCCGGGCAUGAAGAUGGUGAUCAAGCACGGUGCGCGUGCCGGUGAGCGCCUGGUGUCAUGGAAGGGCCCUGGCGACCCCUCGCCGGGGAACUUCUCCUACGGCAGCGACCUGGCCACGUUCCCGCAGAUAUUCCUCUGGGAUGGCACGCGCCCGGUGUACCGUAGCACGCCGUGGACGGGGUACAGGGUGAAGAGCGAGUACCAAUUCCAGACGACCAACACCAGCUCCAUCAUCAUCUACCUAGCCGUCGUCAGCGACGACGACGAGAGCUACACAGUCUACACCGUCUCAGACGGCGCUUGGCUCACCAGGUUCGUGCUGACCUACUCCGGCGAGCUUCAAAUCCAGAGCUGGAACGCCAGCUCGUCAGCCUGGGCCGUCCUCGGGCAGUGGCCGCAUUACCAGUGCGACCUCUACGGCUAUUGUGGCCCCAACGGGUACUGUGACGCACUGCCCGUGCCGGCAUGCAGGUGCCUCAACGGCUUUGAGCCGGCAAGAGCAUAUGAGUGGACCACCGGGAGGUUCUCGGAGGGGUGCCGUCGGAAGGAGGCGCUGAGUGGGUGCAGUGCCGACGGUGACGGUUUCUUGGCGUUGCCGGGAAUGAAACCGCCGGAUGGCUUUGCGCUUGUGGCGAACAGGACGCUGGAGGGGUGCGCGGCGGAGUGCCGCCGCAACUGCUCGUGCGUGGCGUACGCUUACGCCAACUUGACCAGCGGCGCAUCUAGUGUAGACAUGACGAGGUGCUUAGUUUGGGCUGGGGAGUUAGUUGACGUCGGGAAGCUGGGCGCAAGCCCCGCCAGCGACAAGCUCUAUCUCCGGCUUGCAGGAUUGGAUGCUCCAGCUGUAAAAGGACAAAGAGCAAUGCAAUGA